UUCGGGGCUUAAAAGGGAGACAGUCCCAAAGACGUGAGUAAUUCUGACCUGUAGAGGAUUCCAUGGGAAGUCUUCUACAAGCCCCGAAGGAAGGGAAUCUCUCUCCUCAUACCUUGAGUUUCCUGAGUACAAUUAUUAUAGAUAUACGAAGAUCUCUAUGCUCAUGGGGAAUUUGUGUCAAGGGAUUUGUACAGCCCUAUAGGAGACACCUCCAGAGAAAGUAACAACUCUCAGUUGAUUAGCUGAGCCAGAAUUAGCUUCUGUUACUUACAACUGUGAGCCCUGACUGAAAACAUAUUUCUUCCUUUGAAGAAUUGUUACCUGUAACAGGCUAAGAAUAUUAAGAAUAAACAGAUGCUUUUACAGCUCGCAUUGGUGGGAAGAUCUGGCACAAAUGAAGUAUCUAUAAGGAGCAGCAGAGUCAAGAUUGGAUUUAGUGACUUGCUUCAUCAAUGGAAUACACUGAAAUAACAUUUUGGAAUUUCUGAGACUGUCAUAAAAAGCUGAAAGGCUUCUAUUGGGCUUCCUGAAAUGCUCCCUUUUGGAUCCCUGAGCAGCCAUGUGAGUUUAACUACUCUGCAGGAGAGAGUAUGUGAAAAGGAACCUACCUAAGCCCAGCCUCCGUGUCGUCCACAUGAAGACACCAAAUGAGCUACACUGUUUUGGACUCCCCAACACAACCCAGCCACCGGCUGAAUGCCACCAAAUUACCUUCUAGUUAAAGCUUUAUGGAGCAAACGAAUCACCUAUUCAAUAUCUGCUUGAAUUUC
rnacentral:lncRNA from 1 species